rnacentral:tRNA from 1 species
AGUUAUUACGGUCUAGUGGUAUGAUUCUCGCUUAGGGUGCGAGAGGUCCCGAGUUCAAUUCUCGGAAUGCCCC